GCAACGUGCUUGGCCGACCCUAACAAUAGGCGCUAAGUUAUACCCGGCCGAGCUGUCCAGCGAUAAAGACGUGCUUAGUGUAUGAAGGGGGUAUCGUGUUAGAAGCCUGUGUGGCAUGUUUUAGUUUCACAAGUUCAGCAUUUGACGCGGACACGGAUAGCUGACCGUGUGUCAUAUUGUUGAUGUUGAGAAGAUGAAGAUGUGAUGGUGUAGAUGAUGAUGUUAUGGUGAAGUCGAUGACAAUGCGAUGUUCAUGUUGAUGACGACGAUGAUGUUAUGGUGAUGAUGACGACGACGAUGAUGAUGGUCAUGUCGAUGAUGAUGGUGUAGAUGAUGUCGUUCAUGGUGAAGUCGAUGACGAUGCGAUGUUCAUGUUGAUGACGACGAUGAUGUUAUGGUGAUGAUGACGACGAUGAUGAUGAUGGUCAUGUCGAUGAUGAUGAUGUAGAUGAUGUCGUUCAUGGUGACGUCGGUGAUGAUUAUGAAGUAGAUGAUUAUGGUGAUGACGAUGAUGUCUAUUAUGAUUAUGGUGUUGUAGGCGAUGAUGUUGACGAUAGUGUCGAUAAUUAUGAUGGCGAUGGUGAUGAUGAUGAUUGUGGUGACGAAACUACUUUAGUUGUGGUUGUCCGUAGUUGGUCCAGGACUACAGCCCCGGAGAUUCGGACACUCUUCUAAUAUAUUUUUGGUCAUUUGUAUAAACAUCAUAUUUUUUCUUGUUGAGUGAAAGUUGUGUGAGUGUUUGUGUGGUUUAGUGUUUAUAUUUCUAUCUUUUCUUUCUUUCUCUUAUUUUUUUUGUUAUUAAAUUUUGUUAAAUUU
rnacentral:sRNA from 1 species